UUACUUAGCUGGGAUUUUUGCUGCUGUCUUAUGAGAAACAGGACACACUUGCUAAGCAUCCGCACCUGUUAAUAGCCACUUUGUUAUCUCUCUUCACCUGUCUCUUUGUAGUCAUGAGAAUUGAAAACGUUAUCUAUAAAUUGUAUCUGCAUUCCAAUUAUUAGACUAACAAGUUCCUGGCUGAGGAGGGGUUUUAUAAGUACUGUACCUGGUUUGAUAGCCAGGAAUGAUACUAUUUGGAGCAAGUCAUUGUACAAUUAGCCCAGGUUUAAUGAUCACAUCUGCUGUAAAUUACCAUGAACUUCAUUUUAUCCACAUUGUAAUCAACAUUCAGAAAGGCUGUCCCUGUCCUUUCUUUUCUCCUACUUCACAGUCAACACUGAGUACCACCUCUUUAAAGGGCUCAUGGAUGCAGGAUCUGGGCUUUUUUCUGCUUUCAUAAUUGCAAUAGUACCUGCCUGUUCAUCCUGACAUGUGGCUGUAUCCUGUGAUAACAAAGGGAUUGCCAUCUUUUUUAUUUGGCUCACCCAUAAUACAUGUGGAUUAAGGCAUUAAAUACGGGCUCCAUCUAGUGGUAGCCAACUGCAUUCUUUCUUGUUUUUACAUAGGCUCUUUGGGAUUUUCUGUGUUCCUGAUCAAACCAAUCUCUUUCUGUGUACUCAUAAGAUAUUUUUCCAUUGGAUCUCUGUUGCUUACUGUACUGUUUACUUCCUGAGCACCAUUUUUUGGGGGAGUGGGGAUCUCCCUUGUGUUUGCAGCUCAUUCUAUCAGAGAACAUGGCAGCCUUCCUGGUCUUUGCUCCUUCGCUAGAUCUAUUCUUUUAUAGAUUACAGCAAAUUGGACACCUAGCAAUUUGAAGUCUUUUUCUAGAAUGCCCUCUCCCUGAUAGUCCUUCUACUUCUCACUGUGGGCCCUGUUUGUAUGCUGACAGGAAAACUACCUUCCUAGAUGGAGUAUUUCUACUCACUGAUGGAUGGAUCUUUUGUAUACUAAGAACUAUAUUGCCAUAGUUGCUUUUUGGUCCCAGCAUUAGUCCACAGUACAGUCUUUAUAUCAUUUUUUGUUA
rnacentral:lncRNA from 1 species